GACGGAGGAUGCAAGUGUUAUCCGGAAUCACUGGGCGUAAGCGUCUGUAGGUGGUUCAAUAAGUCAACUGUUAAAUCUUGAGGCUCAACUUCAAAAUCGCAGUCGAAACUAUUGGACUCGAGUAUAGUAGGGGUAAAGGGAAUUUCCAGUGGAGCGGUGAAAUGCGUAGAGAUUGGAAAGAACACCAAUGGCGAAAGCACUUUACUGGGCUAUUACUGACACUGAGAGACGAAAGCUAGGGUAGCAAAUGGG
rnacentral:rRNA from 1 species